rnacentral:rRNA from 1 species
UACGGAGGGUGCGAGCGUUGUCCGGAAUCACUGGGCGUAAAGGGCGCGUAGGCGGCCUGAUAAGUAGGGUGUGAAAUCCUGCGGCUUAACCGCAGGGCUGCCUUCUAAACUGUCAGGCUGGAGCACAGUAGAGGCAGGUGGAAUUCCCGGUGUAGCGGUGGAAUGCGUAGAGAUCGGGAAGAACAUCAGUGGCGAAGGCGGCCACCUAGCCCGCACCUGACGCUGAGGCGCGACAGCGUGGGGGGCGAACUGG